rnacentral:piRNA from 1 species
UCACAAAAUAGGAUGGAUGAGAAUAGUCUC